AGCGUGGGAGCCCGAACUUCCGCUUAACGCCUCCCUCCCCGGAAAAGCUAGUCCCGCUGUGCCUUUUCUAAAGCUAGUCGGUUCCGGAGAAUUUAAAAUCUUUCCGGGUAGAAACACGGCCGCGGACGUUGCGUUCCGCCGAGCCUUUUGCGGCCACUUCCGGGUUUCCUCUCGCGAGCUCGGACAGGGAGCCGGAAUCCCGUCCACGCCGCGAAGCAGCCCGCGGCCGACAGAGGGCGCAGAAACGCUAGGUCCCAGCACGGCCGCCGGGCCUGGCUGAGCUACGCUAACGAGUGUCCCACUGCGCGGUGGGUGUUCUCCGCUCGUCCGGACGGGAGCUAGUCAGACGUUUUGGGAAACACCUUGAAGCUGUCAAGGCUGAGCCCGUUAAAGGACAGGCCCCUGUGUAUAGCAUCGGAUCGCAGUAGAGGGCUGUGUUUCACACACGGUUGAUCAAGCGCCAUCCACGCCGGGCAGCGUUUUAUGCUCAUAAAGAGAGACCGUGGCCAAAAUAGACGAUUUUCCCGCUUGGAGAUCUUGUCACCGGCCAGUGGGCGGUGCACGGCUACACCAAACAGAACUCGUCAAAUGGGAGAAGUGACUGGCUCUCACUGUCGUUGUUAGCCUGCCUUCAGUGCUGGAAACCCAACGUGGGUUUUAUAUCUGUCUUUAAAAUAAGAAUGCUGGCGGGCGAAUAGUCGUCUUCCACCAUGUGGGUCUGGAGGAUCGAACUCCUGUCAGGAGUAGCAGAAAGCUCCUUUACCGGCUAAAGCCAUCUCAAACGUCUGUCCUUUUCUGUGCCAGCUUCCAUAUUUAAAAGGAUAUAUACAAAGUCGUCGUGAUGAUGCACACAACAUGAGGCCUUUUCUUAUAAGACAAAUCAGCAACAACAAACGCAACCCUAACGAAACCAAAGCCAAGUGCACACAUGGUCAUAAAAGUAUUUAAGGACCCGAAGGUGUUCUGCCUGUUACUGUUACUCCAUUCAUCGCUAGGGUUGAUUCUGCUUAUCAGGCUGGCUAGGUUUAUGUAUCCUUCCUCACUGCUCCACUGGCAUCUUUCCCCGAAGCAGGGUGUCACAGCAGGUUGAAGAAGACAACCUUCCCAGAUGGAGAAGGGCGGUCUUUGUUCUCUGGUUGAGCGUAGAUGAAUAGCUAUUCGAUAUGUUCCCGGUUAGAACAUGUUUUAAAAGAAGGGAUUGGGGGUUGAGUAUUUCUGCCCAAAUUUAAGGGAUUUGUGCUGUACUGAAAACAGCUUAAGUUACUUUAAAAAUUCUCUAGUUUUUUUUUUUUUUCCUGAGUUUGGUACAGAGGAAUGUUCAAUAUGUAAUGACUAUGUAUACAAAGUAUAUUUGACUGCAUCUUAGGUGCUAUUAUAAAGCUUGGUGAGUGAUGUAUACAAACGCAAGCAUCUCUGAGACAUAAACUGAACUGGAAUGAAUUCAGCAACCAUCAGUUCCAACUGAAGUUUAACACGUGUGGAAAUAGGUGCUUGCAGGCAAUUCUGCUAGGAAGCCAGCUAGAAAAAUCGGGGCCAGAAACUCCCAAGCCAGGGCUCCCCAGUUGUUAUCAGCCCCUCUAAUAUGUAUAGUUUUAAAAAAAUGCGUGUGCAUACUAGAGUUGAUUUCUUGUAAGCUAGCUGAUGUCCAUAUAGAUUUGAGCAUUAUACAGGCCUUACAUUAUCCUAAAAUGAUAGUUUUAGAUUCUGUAAUAAAAUGUUCUUCUUUCAAAAUGAGAACAUUAAUACAUCUUUCAGAAAACCAGUAUUUUAAAGUACACAGUACCUUCAGUGCGUGCCCAAGUCUAUCCGAAACCUUUAAAAGCUCUUACACGAUUUUAGAAAGUAGCAUUUCUUUCUGUACCCUUGGCUGUGCUGGAACUAGCUCUGUAAAACAGGCUGGCCUCUGUUGCAGGAUAUUUGGUCACACUGUGAACCCUGAAAUUGUGUACUGAGAAAACCUGUUUCUACUUGUGGUGUAGCUCAGCCCUAGCACACACUUUUAAUUCAAGAACUUCCUGUUUAUUGGAAACAGGUGGUUGUGGUAUGGCACAGCCCUAGCACACACUUUUAAUUCAAGAGCUUUCUGCAAAUAGGAUUAAAAAAAAUUAACCCUAGGUCAAGAGGCAGAAGUUAUCAGUUGACAGGAAGUGAACAUGGGAAAAAAGCAUAGAGAGUGAGAGGAAGUUUGGAGAAUAGAGAGACACAGGAAGUAGAAAAGAGGGACAUUCAAUUUGGAGGGUUUUAAAGACAGCACAGAGAAGGUCUUCCUUCUGGGACAUCAGCUGAGUGGGAAGUUCUGUUGAGUGCUCUCUCUGCCUCGUGAUCUACCAGGUUUACACCUCAGCAUGUGGCUCCUGAGUCUUUAUUGGUAAAAUUGAACAUUUGGGAUUUUGUUUUAAAAGUAGCAGUCCUUCAACUCACAGGUAUCUGCCUGCAUCUGCCUCCUCACCAGUGCUGAGAUUACAGGUGUGAGCCACCAACACUUAGCUAGAAAAUAUAAUUUAACAAAUAGGAUGUGGUUGGAAACCCAUGUUCAGAUGAUAAGCAUAAACCUCAUAUUUGAAUCUUAAGUUUUCCUUUUAAAAGGCAAAAUGACCAUAGACUAUUAAGGAGAAUGGAGAAAAAACUGAGUGGUACCCUUGAGAGUCAGCUUUAGAAGAUUGCAGUAUCAACUGCUUGUGGGCUCUGCUAGUAGCAAAUGUCAACAGCCUGUGGGCUGUGACUGACAGUUUAUGCUACAGUAGAUUGGAAGGCAAACUGAGCAGACAGGGAGUGUGUCAUCAGAUAGAAAAGACCUCACAGCCCAUCAUCGGGUGCAAGACACUCAGAUGGGUCACUGACAUGCAACACUGAGAGAUUAAAGGCCCGAGAGAUCAUCUAAAGACCCUUUUGUUUUGAAAGUAUUUGUGAAGACAUAUUUAAACUUGGGCUAUAAUUAUACUGUAUUAAAAUUUCUACUUACUGUGAAAUUAUUGUGUGUUCUGUUAAUUUUUAUUUCAAAGUAUGUGAAAUAGUAUUAGUGAUAUUUUGAUGAAAAUGCAUAUAUUAUGCUUAAGUUAAAAACUAUUUCAAACAUUUUAAAUGGGAAUGACUAGAUUAAUAUCAUUUAGCUUCUUUUAAUAAAGAAUAGCUUUUAAUUAAUUUCUUCAGUUCCAGUAGUUCCACUUAAGUUUUUUUAUUUUUUGAGACAGGGUUUCUCUGUGUAGCCUUGGCUGUCCUGGAACUCACUCUGUAGACCAGACUGGCGUCAGAUUUAGGGUUAGGGUUAGAGAGAUCUGCCUGCCCCUGAUGCCUGAGUGCCUCACCACCCAGCCUGUUAUACAUUUUUCUAAAUCUUAUAUUAGGAUUACUUACCACUUAAUUGAGCACUUUUUUACAAGAAUAGUGUAUUUCUGCCAGAAAUACUAUAAUCUUAAAACAUGGGCUGAGGCAGGAGGAUUUUGAUUUUUAAGAACAUCCUUUUUCAUACUAUAAGUUCUAGGCCAUCUUGGCUUAUAGGGCCAGACUCUAUCUAAAAAAAAAAAAAAAUGUAAAUAUGAAUAAAAUAUUUUUAUUUUAUCUCAAAAUAAAAAUGAAAAUAUAGGUUGACUUAAGUGAUACUAGGGAACAUAAGCUUUAGUCAACUAAAAAGAAAAACAUGAGUCCAAAGAAAAUGAGCAACUAUUAAAAUACACUUGGUUUUUUCUUUAAAUGGAAAAAACAUCAUUUAUUCUGUGUGUGUAGGUGUGCACCAUGGCAUAUGGGCUCCAGGGUUUUAACUCAGGUUGUCAGUUGCCUUUCCUGCUAAGCCAUUGUGCUAGUCUGAUAUUUGAUUUUUCACUUUUGUAUUUGUGACAACUACAAUUUGUCAUUGCCUUGAAUAUGUAUUACUGUGAUGUUUGAUUCAGGAGUUAACAAGAGAACUCCUUUUUUGCUUUAUAAGACAUUUACAGUUUUUUGUUUUGUUUUGUUUUUUUUUUUCCAGAGCAUAGGGUUCUAUGAACGGCAUUCAGGAGUCUAGAUUCCAACAGUUUUGAAACUGUUGUCCCAUUCCCAGACUAUUUCUUACUGGACAAGUGAAGUAAUAAUAACGAUACAUAACAUUAUGAGUAAUUUAUGUACCAGGCUUUGUCAUGUCUUUGUUUUUCUCAUUUUAUUCUUCUUUUAGAUAUAUUAAAUUACUUUAUAUGUAUGAA